CUUUCUAAAGGAGCUGAAAAACAUGAUGACAUGUAACGAAACCUCCCCGGGGCUGCAGUUUGGUAUUCGGUGGGGAAGCAGCAGGGACUCGGAGGUUUGCUGUGGCUGCUCGGGUGCUACGGGGAGCUCCUAUCCCUUGGCAAUUGCCGAUACAACACACCGUAGUAACACAAGAAGAAUUAAGUUGCUCAGAUGCACGCCAGAGCGUAAAAACAACUGUCUAUACAGUCACCGUGCCUCGGCCAGCGUACCUGUCUGCUGCACACCCUGCACGCGGGUGAGAGCUGACUGCCCCUCUCUUGGGAUCACAGGGUGGUUACUCAAAUGGUCUGGAUGCGACCAAAGGGAGCGUGAGACAAAGUGUAGCAGUUCUGGUUUAGCUGAAUCAGGAUAAAGUGCUUAACCACACAGCCAGGUGGAGGCAAUGCCCAGAAUAGACCCCUAAGUACAGAUUGGUACGAGUGGCUUUGCCAUGUGGAUUUCUUUUAGUAAUAAUUUUUGCAGUGGUGCUGAUGAGAUUAUGGUGGUGAGAGGUGCUUGUUUACAUUUGGUGGUUAUUAGUGUCAUUUCUUUUUUGAUUAACCUUUUGUGUACUACAGCUGUCCACUGCAGUCCGGAGGGGUUUUAUGACUGGAGAAUUUAUGAUAAAGGCACUCUAACACAAGGAAUUUGAGCUCGUGGGAUUAAGCUGGGUGUGCAUAGGUUAUUGCAGCAGCAUCCGCUGGUUUUCCUUCUUCCUGUAAUUCUGUUGAUACCAGUUACAGGAUCAGAAAAUUCAUAUUAGAACAUUAGCAAGUGCAAAUGUAUAGCCACAUUCUCAUCAUUUAGCCUAAUUUUAAUCCUUUGGAUAAAGUACUUAAUUUUUAUCAAUUCACAGGCAUGGAAGUGACAAGCCCGUUUAUAACUAUCAGUGAUACAGAGCAGCAGCUCCAAAAAAGCCAUGGGAUUUUGGAAUCGGCGCUGAGAAACUUUUCCAUAAAUGCCAGGAAUAACAUUAUAUUUGAAUAUUUAACCCUUACCCAGGCAAUUUGAGGACUGGAAACCAUAUGUGCUUUUCAUAAUGGGAGCCAAGAUGACCCUACAUAAAGAUAAAUAUAACUACAUAAAAGCAUUCAGGAAGGAUGGUGUUGUGGUUAAGAGCUGGGCAAGGACUGGGGAGCUCGAAGGUCUAAUCCCAGCUCAGCCACAGGCUUCUUGGGUGAUCCUGGGCAUGUAACUUAAUCUCUGCGUGUUGCAGUUUUUCCAUUUGUGAAUGGGAGACGAUAAUAAUACUGCCCCACAGCCAUGCCUGGAGGAUAAACGCAUUGCUGCUUGGGAGGUGUGGGCUUGGAGAUGGUGCUGGUGACCACCAGGAUAAGUCUUAGCCAAGUGCUCUGCUGAGGGUAUGUGCUACACCGCUGCCAGUGGUAUUUGCAGUUUGGCCUCUCCUCUGAAGGCUGGUUGAAUAAACUCCUGCCUUAAUUAGACAGUGUGUCAGACUAGGGUAGCACACCUGAAGCCUUGUCUGGGGAGUCACAUCAUUGGCAAAUGUUCCUUGUUUGAACAUAAUUUAAAUUCAAAAACAAUGAGAGGAAAAAAUGAGAAAAGGGAAACCUGCAGUAGAUGAGACCAUCUGGUUUUGUUUGAGUGCUACCUAAGUAACUUGUGUUUAUUGGUUAUAGACUGGUGUUUUCUUUAUACGGUCUCUGGCCAGGUAGCUGUUGUUAUGCUUGUGACUUGGCAUUCACUUCUGCCCUUUGUGAGUCUGCUCAGGAGGCAUGGAUCCUGAUCCUCUUGUGAUUCUUUGAAAAGAUGGGAUAUUUCAAAGUAACCGUCAAGACAGAGACUUUUCUUAAUUGGUCACCGAGAUUUUCGGCUCGUAGCCUGUGGCUGCCAUGGGGAUAUCAUUUCAUCACUGCGGGAGCAAAGGCGAUUGAGCCGAUGGCACAUGGGAGAGGCAGCCCGUGCGACUGUCAGCGUGAGGAAGAAUCAUGUUCACGAGAGAACGUCUCUGCUAAGGUGCCAUCCCCGCUCUGGAAAGCAGGUCCACACGUUCAGAUGUGAAGCUGGAAAUGAAACACAUCUGGAUAUCCAAAAAUGACAACAGACUUUUAUUUGCUAUUUUUGGUAUACAACAAAAGCUUUGUAUCUUGCUAAUUGAACAUAUGGGCUCUCAGUUGCUUUUUUCCCCUGCUAAACUCCACUUUUCCAUGUGUCAUCAUACGAUUCCAACAUUUGAUCUGUCGAGUCCAUCUUGGCCAUGUGUUUGUUGUAAUCUGCUACACAUGUAGGCUUGUUUUCGUGUGCGUCCUGACCUCCAGUGAGAGCUGCAGUUGUUUCCAUCAUGGAUAGUGUUGAGGAGUUACACAUCCUUUUUAUCAGUGUAUUUGGCCACCGGCAGCUCCUCGCAGUGCAGAUCAGGGAUCCUGCCAAGCCUCUGAAAGCUCAGUGUUUAGGGUAGCCAUAUCUGUUUGUAUUGUGAUACCAGAUGCUGGUUUUUUUCAGUGUAACAGAAUAAGAAGGGAGAACUUCCCCAGAAUAGAAAAUAUCCACAUAAGUAAAAUCCAGCGUCUCACCAAGGGAAGAUGAGGGUCAGCAUUAGCUAGUUAGAGUUGGAGCGUGAGGAAGGGAUAGAGGUGGACGGCUGGUUGAUGGUCAUCAGACAGACCUGUGCAAACCGGGCAGGGGUCGGCAUUGCAGUGGCCAGCAUGGAAAAGCAGCGUUUGCUUGUGCAGAAGGCAGCGUGCUCUUCGGAGUCUGCAGCAGAAGAGUCUGCGGGAUAAAAAGAGAAAAAUGCUCUAUCUGGAGUGAAGGACUGAGCCCUUCAGAGCAGGCUGUGCCAUAAUACCCACUGGGAACUUGGCCCCACUGCACGGACGUUCGUGAGACUCGACUCGUUACAAAUACAGGACCUCUUGAUUAGCAUGAAAGAUUCGUCAUCAGAAUUUUUUUGUGCCUGUGGGGGAUCUACUUACUUAUUUCCAACUACAGCUCUAAAUUGUUCCCAUGCUUCAUCAUGGUUUGAUUAGCUAAAAUCUUCGAGUAACUGUUUGAGGCACUUACCAUAACUAAAAAACAGGUGACAAUGAUCAAACCGUAGGGUACGGAGGGUAUGGAGCCUGAAUGUGGUUGGAGGCAACCCCGUUACAGGUUCCUGAGCACUGUAAAGACGUAUCACCUGCACGCUUUUAAAGUGCUGAGGACUGCUGCAUAUUGUUCCCCAGGAUAAAUGACAAAUUAAUGCAACAAAAAAAAGGGGUAACUGCAUUUAAUUAAUUGCCUGCGCACAUGCAUGCGUAGCCCCAGCCUGUGCAUCCAUGUCAUGUUACAGCUGUGCUAAUAGUCACCUUUCUUGCAGUAAAUAUUGGGCCAAUUUCAUCACAUUUGGUUUAUGUUUAUCAACACGGCACUUAAGCAAUGGGGUUUUGGUUGCAAUAAGGGAAAGAGUCCAUUUCUGUCUAGCCCCGAGGUGAGGGAAUGAGAAGCCACAUGUGGCAUGGCCCGGCUGGAGGCUCUCGUCUCUCCGUGUUGCAACACACCCGCCUGACUGCAGCAAAAAUCAAAUAUUUGUACUUGAAGACAGAGCUGAGGCAAUUUCCACCAGGAUUAUGCCGUCUCUCACCAAUUGAAAAAUAUUAUACGUGCGUCGUGCAUUAUUCUGUUCAGUUCUUGACAUACGCUGCUGAGCAAUUUUGUCUUGAACUCCCUUUUUCUUUUUAGCCAAGAGUGUAACAUGAAACAAAUCUAAGAUUGCACUCGAGGACUUCCCAAUCAACUGAAGAAUGAACUCUGAAGCAGAAGUUGUAUUUAACAAAACGGACUUACAAUUAUUAUUCAUAAAUGCACAUGUUAUGGCUGCAGUUGUUUCACUUCUUUCUUUUACAACCCUAUAAAUUGUAUACAGAACAUAAAGGCUUUACUUCUUAAAUAAAUGUUUUGCAGCCGCCAUAAAUUAUCUUUCUUGCAUUCAUAAUGAAAAAAAAAUCACUGUUUGAUGUUUUAUAUCCUCUUCCCUAAAAUGUAAAAUAUGGUAGUUGGAGCCAGAUUUUAUCUCAUUUGAAAAUAAAAGAAGGUUCAUUUCCUACUAAUUUUUUUCAGUCUUAGGUUUGGAGUUCCCAUGAAAUGUUGCCCAAUCUGCAAAGCAGCGUUACAAUAAACUCUGCUUUAUCUGAGGGUUUGUGUUUGAGUUGUACCAGUGUUAAUCAUCAUCAUCGUGAAAUGAGUUAGCAACAUAACCUGAAUCUUUUUUAUUUUUUUUUUUAAUCCCUAAUGUUGGUUAUAUUUCAUCUUUCUACGCACCCUGAAUCACUGGCUGAAUAUCGGAUUGUUGAACUUUUCUCUACACCAACCCUACGAGGACCCUGCCCCAGCAUUGCUGUCCUGGAAGCAGGCCUUGCUAAACUCCCAGCUCACUGGUUUGCAAAGCAAACUUCAGCCUUGUACUAUUUACCUUGGCAAGUGCCCGACCAGAUUGAUGAUCUGUAAAGUGGAUUUGUUAUUUGGCUGUUUGCUUUGGCAGCUCUUGAAAGCAGUUUGCUGAUUACAGUCCCAGAUGUCAUUGCAUACAUUACUGUUCACUAUAAGUUUCUUUUAAAGUUUUAAUUUCAGCCACAAAUACUAUUAAGCUUUUUGCACCUUUCUGUCUUUAACUCGUGGAUAUUAAAUAUCAAGAGCAGGCAGCCUUGAUUUCCGUGAAUUUUCCUCUGAUUGUCUUUGUUGGCCUCCUCCAGGCAUGUCUGUAGUGCCGGC